ACCCUGGUGGUACAGCGGUAACACGUGCCUCCCACAUGGGUAAAGCACUGGUUCAACCCCCGUUUGGGAUU